UACGUAGGGUGCAAGCGUUAAUCGGAAUUACUGGGCGUAAAGCGUGCGCAGGCGGUUGUGCAAGACAGAUGUGAAAUCCCCGGGCUUAACCUGGGAACUGCAUUUGUGACUGCACGGCUAGAGUGUGUCAGAGGGGGGUAGAAUUCCACGUGUGAGCAGUGAAAUGCGUAGAUAUGUGGAGGAAUACCGAUGGCGAAGGCAGCCCCCUGGGAUAACACUGACGCUCAUGCACGAAAGCGUGGGGAGCGAACAGG
rnacentral:rRNA from 1 species